rnacentral:rRNA from 1 species
UAGGGAAUCUUCCGCAAUGGACGAAAGUCUGACGGAGCAACGCCGCGUGAGUGAAGAAGGAUUUCGGUUCGUAAAACUCUGUUGUUAGGGAAGAAAAAAUGUAUAGUAACUAUAUACAAAAGAGACGGUACCUAACCAGAAAGCCACGGCUAACUACGUGCCAGCAGCCGCGGUAAUACGAAGGGGGCUAGCGUUGUUCGGAUUUACUGGGCGUAAAGCGCACGUAGGCGGACUUUUAAGUCAGGGGUGAAAUCCCGGGGCUCAACCCCGGAUCUGCCUUUGAUACUGGAAGUCUUGAGGAUGGUAGAGGUGAGUGGAAUUCCGAGUGUAGAGGUGAAAUUCGUAGAUAUUCGGAGGAACACCAGUGGCGAAGGCGGCUCACUGGACCAUUACUGACGCUGAGGUGCGAAAGCGUGGGGAGCAAACAGG